rnacentral:rRNA from 1 species
GAUGAACGCUGGCGGCGUGCCUAAUACAUGCAAGUCGAGCGAACGGACGAGAAGCUUGCUUCUCUGAUGUUAGCGGCAGGCGUGUGAAUAACACGUGUAUAACCUACCUAUAAGUGUGGUAUCACUUCGGGAAAGCUGAGCUAAUACCGGAUAAUAUUUUGAACCGCAUGGUUCAAAAGUGAAGGACUGUCUUGCUGGCAGUUGUAGAUGCAUCCGCUCUGCAUUAGCGAGUUGGUAAGGUAACGGCUUACCAUGGCAACAAUGCAUAGCCGACCUGAGAGCGUGAUCGGCCACCCGGGAACAGAGGCACGGUCCAGACGCCUACGGGAGGCCGCGGUAGAGAAGCUUCGGCUAUGGGCGAAAGCGUGCCGGAGCAAUGCAGCGUGAGUGAUGAAGGUCUUCGGAUCGUAAAGCUCUGUUAUUAGGGAGGAACAGAUGUGUAAGUAACAAUGCACAUCUUGACGGUAGUUAAUAAGAAAGCGACGGCUAACUACGUG